GGUGGGGGGCGGGGGCGUAGAAGAAUAGUCACUUAUGCCUUAGUCUGGCUCAGUGAAUCAGCAUUUUUACAUAAACAAUAGGGCAGAGGAAGCAAUCGGAUAGGCAUUUGCUUCAGGUGAGCAGAGGGAUGACUUUCUGUCCCACAUCUGUGAAGAUCAGCUGUUGGUUUACAUUGCCAGGGUGAAAUUCAACAGAACUAAUUUAGGGUGAAGAUCUUGAGGCCCACAAGGAAUUUCCUUGUGGGAAAAUUGUGAGGAAGAGCAAUCACUGCACCCAGCCACCUCUAUAUACAUGUACACAAAGCCACACAGUUUACACAGUCACAGGUAUUUAAGUACACACUAUUCACACACAAAUACAUAUAUAGACACACAUGUACAGUCCGUCCAAAAUAUAUGUACAUAAAAGCACACUAUUACACCUUCAUAUGUGCACACACACACACACCCAGACUCACUUCAUACACACAUAGAUACAACAGCCACAGCUCCCCAUCACCUACACACACACACACACACCUGGACACCCAGCUCUAAUAUAAUCAGAUAGAGAUAUGCAUGCAGACAAAUUUGCCUGUAUAGUCAAACACAUAGGCAAAUAGAGAACGAGACACCACAUGAACAAAGGCAAACCUACACACAAAGACACAGAGCACACUUACGCAUAUAUCUAUAGACCCACCAUGGCACAUAUGGGUAAGUGCACACAGGCAAACUCACACACACGAGCAUGCACAGGCAGAGAACACAAAUGUACACUCCCAGGUGUCAUAAAGAACAGCCCAGCUUCGGCUUGGGAACGUCACAUCAGACAAUAGGAACGGCUGCACCGCGCGUUUCCUCGGCUGCCAGCUUCCCAGCCACAGAGGAUGCCUCACCUGCUAUGUCAGCUCCCCUCUGCCCCACCUCACAAGAAGCUCAGAAGCUGAGGAGUCACAGAGAGACCUCCCUACUGUGUCAGAGGAAUAGGUCCUUCUGUCACGGGGCACAGGACCCUUGACCGCAAAAUGACGUGAGUUACCACUGACUAUUUUCUGGGUCUUGAUCUUGUGACUCCAAAUGGAUGCAUUUUAGGACCCAAAGGGACCUAAGAGAGUGCUCAGACAGCUGGCUGCGUUAGGAGCUACCUGUGGCUGCUGAAGAAGAGUUUGCGUCAAUUUAAAGAAAGAGCCAUUCAAGGAAUGAGGACCAUGACCUUGGCUGCACUGACCAGCUGGGCUCUGGAGACUCAGUGAGGCUGCCCAGCCACCAACAGGCCCUGCACAAUAGAUCCACGGACCCAGCAGUCAGAGGUGACCCUAGGGGUCACUGGCCCGUGGCUAAGGAGGAGGAGCACAGACCUGCGACCCCCUUUUCCCAUGGACCACCCAGGGAGGCUGAGCGGGGACUCUGAGCUCAGAUGGACAACCUCAGAGCCACUGGGAAUUUGCCUGAGGCCACUGGGGCCAGGGUUAAAUCCAUAUGAAGCAGCGCGGGCUGUGCACCUGCCAUUUUCUAGGCUCUGUCACAUGCAUCUUUCUGCCAAAUCUCAUGGUGAUCCUUCAAGAAUAGUACUAUUAAUCUCCCCAUUGACAGAGGGAGAAAGGGAGGCUCAGAGACGUUAAGUGUCUCACCAAAGCUCACACAGCUUCCAAGCAAUAGAACUUUACUCAGUACUCAGUACAGGUUAACAUUUAUUCAUUCACUCGAUAACCAUUUGCAGCACAGCUACCAUAUGCCAGGCAGUGUUCUAGGCACUUAGAAUACAUAGAUGAGCAAAACAGGCAAAACCUUUCCCUCAGGGCGUUACCAUUUGAGUGCCACCAUGCCACGGCUGGUACAGUUGCUAUUGAGACAAACAAAAUAAGACCCAGUUUUUGCCUUUGGGGAGUAGGUAGUCUAGUGGAGGAGGCACAUACACAGAAAAUUCCAAAGUACUGUGGAAAUCUCAGGGUACUUUGAUAGGGAUUACCAGAGGAGCUGUGAGAAUAAAGGCUGGAUAUCAGGGAAGGCUUCCUGGAAGAGGUGUUGCCUGAAAUGAGCCUGGAAGGAUCACUUAGGGACAGAAAAGUCAUUCCGUGUAGAAUUCAUGGUGAGUGACAGAGCCUAAACCCAGUCUCUUUUGCAUGCUGAGCACUGAGACCCAGACGCUGGUGCUCAGACCUGAUGACUUAUUUUCCCAGGUACAGCUUGAGCAAAGACACAGAAGCAGAAGGCAGGUUUUUGGUUCCAUGAACUCUACAUCUGGCUACAUACAAAUGGUGAAGAGGAACAGGGAGAAACAUGGUUGAAAAGAACAGGCUUGGACUUCAGGAAGCAGUAAAAUGAGCGAAUGCCAUUUAUGGUUACAAAGAUAACUCAGCUGGGGGCCAAACAGAGACUGAAAUGGAGUGGGUGAGGAUGGAGGCCGGGAGGAGAUGGCUGCAGAGGUCCCAGCAAUGACAGUGGUUGUGGGAAGGGGCAACCCCAAGUCUUGUGCUCCCAACUGCAAAUCCAGUGCUUUUUCUAAAAAAAUAUUUAAAUAAUUUAUUUAUUUUUGAGAUGGAGUCUCGCUCUGUCACCCAGGCUGGAGUGCAGUGACACAAUGUCGGCUCGUGCAACCUCUGCCCCCCGGGUUCAAGCGAUUCUCCUGCCUCAGCCUCCCAAGUAGCUGGGAUUACAGACGCACGCCUCCACGCCUGGCUAAUUUUUUAUAUUUUUGGUAGAGAUGGGGUUUCACCAUGUUGCCCAGGCUGGUCUCGAACUCCUGACUUCAAGUGAUCCACCCACCUCGGCCUCCCAAAGUACUAGGAUGACAGGCGUGAGCCACUGUGCCCAGCCUUAUUUUUUUUUUUAAUUUAUAUUUUCAGAGGCAAACGAUCCUUGCUCAUUAAAAAAAGGAAAUAGAAAUUCAAAACAAAAAUGCCUGUAUCUGAUGGGAAAGAUGAGCCCAAUGUUCUUUUUUAAAAAACCUUUAUUAUGAAAUAUUUCAACUGAACAUAUGCAGUUUAUAUUGUUAUAAAGCAUAACAAGCAAUCAAACAGCUGUGAACCCACCACUCCAUGUCAGAACUAGAACUUCCCAAAGCAGUCGGAGCUGAGGUGAGAUCCACUCUGAUGCCCUUCCCCAACUCCACGCCACCCCCCAAGACCUGACCACCUGAUUACUCUGGGAUUUCAUUUUUGUCUCGUUCCCUUGCUUUGCUUUAUGUCUUUACCAAAUGUGAAUGUGUGCCUAAACAAUACAGUGCUCGAUUUGCUUGUGUUUAAGCUUUAUUACAAAUAUA
rnacentral:lncRNA from 1 species